rnacentral:rRNA from 1 species
AACGAACGCUGGCGGCAUGCCUAACACAUGCAAGUCGAACGAGACCUUCGGGUCUAGUGGCGCACGGGUGCGUAACGCGUGGGAACCUGCCCUUAGGUUCGGAAUACCUCCCCGAAAGGGGUGCUAAUACAGGAUAAUGUCUUCGGACCAAAGAUUUAUCGCCUUUGGAUGGGCCCGCGUUGGAUUAGCUAGUUGGUAGGGUAAAAGCCUACCAAGGCGACGAUCCAUAGCUGGUCUGAGAGGAUGAUCAGCCACACUGGGACUGGGACACGGCCCAGACGCCUACGAGAGGCAGCAGUGGGGAAUAUUGGACAAGGGGCGAAAGCCUGAUCCAGCAAGGCCGGGUGAGUGAUGAAGGCCUUAGGGUUGUAAAGCUCUUUUACCCGGGAUGAUAAGGACAGGACCGGGAGAAUAAGCUCCGGCUAACUCCGU